GUUGUGCCAGCGUUGGAAGAGCCGGUGGGUGUGCCGGUUUGAACUUUUUGUCCUGGAAGCUGUGGAUCACCAUGAGGCUUGUAAUUCUUGAUAACUAUGACUUGGCUAGUGAAUGGGCAGCCAAAUACAUCUGUAAUCGCAUCAUUCAGUUCAAACCUGGACAAGACAGAUAUUUUACACUGGGUUUACCAACAGGGAGUACACCUUUAGGAUGUUAUAAAAAACUAAUAGAAUAUCACAAGAAUGGAAACCUUUCUUUUAAAUAUAUGAAGACCUUUAACAUGGAUGAAUAUGUAGGACUGCCGAGAAAUCAUCCUGAAAGCUACCAUUCUUAUAUGUGGAAUAACUUUUUUAAGCAUGUUGAUAUAGAUCCUAAUAAUGCUCAUAUCCUUGAUGGGAAUGCUACAGAUUUACAAGCAGAAUGUGAUGCAUUUGAAAAGAAAAUAAAAGAAGCUGGAGGAAUAGAUCUUUUUGUUGGAGGAAUUGGUCCAGAUGGUCAUGUCGCUUUCAAUGAGCCUGGAUCCAGUUUGGUAUCAAGGACAAGAUUAAAGACUCUAGCAAUGGAUACCAUUUUGGCAAAUGCUAAAUAUUUUGAUGGAGACUUAGCAAAAGUGCCAACCAUGGCUCUAACUGUUGGUGUGGGGACCGUAAUGGAUGCCAGAGAAGUAAUGAUCCUCAUAACAGGGGCACACAAGGCAUUUGCCCUGUACAAAGCCAUUGAAGAAGGCAUCAACCACAUGUGGACUGUCUCGGCUUUCCAGCAGCAUCCCUGGACUAUUUUCGUGUGUGAUGAAGAUGCUACUUUAGAAUUGAGAGUUAAAACUGUGAAAUACUUUAAAGGUUUAAUGCAUGUGUACAAUAAACUUGUGGAUCCACUAUACAGUAUGAAGGAAGGAAAUUGAAGGAGAUUGGAGCAAAAUUCUUCUUGAACAGAGCACUUUUUUUUUAUAAGUAGCAGAUGAAUUUUCAACUAUGCAAUGAUAAAACAUGGGGAAUUUUGAAGACUGUCAUUUUUGAAGUCCACUAUCUAUGUUAAACAUUCCAUAUUUAGAAUGUAUAUCUCACUAGAGUUCAGAAGUAGUUAUCUCUCAAAAUUGAUUGGCUAUUAUAAAAUACAAAAAGCCACAGAGCCACCUAGAAAACAGCAUAGAAAUGAAAUGUCUGCCAUUCAGAAAUUUAAAGUCAUGUUUAAAGGUAAAGAGUCUGCGUAUCAGGUGCCAUUGUGGCUUGACUCUAGUGGCAUACCUAGAUUUUCAUAUGUGAAUGACAAGAUGACACUCCAAACCUUUCAGGUAUCAAAACUAUCAUUGCAAACCUUUACUUUUGGAAUGCUGCCUUUGUUUUCUGUGAAUUACACACAUGCUCUCUGCACGUGGUUGCCUUAGUCAUCUUCCUACAGUAACAUCUAGACAUUAAGAGUUAUGCCAUAUAUUGUUGGUAAAGGAAAUUUGAAGAGAUGACAGUGCCUAAGAGUACAGUUUACAUCCUUUUAGAAAGUAUGUGUAAGUGCAUGUUUUUUGUGCACCUUCUAUAGCACUUUUUUACAAAUAUGCUCUUAUUUUUGUUUAAUGACUUGGGUUCCUGCCCUUAAUAUAAGUUUCUUGGCAAUUAUGAGCUUUAUAUCUAGGAACACACUUGAGAUUGUUUUGGAGAAUAUCUUCUUAUUGUUAAACUUCAUAAAUGAUUAGCUUUAUUCCUUAUAUAUAAGAUAUCUGAAAAGAAAAUAUGAAACAUAUAAAAGGAAUUACUGUAAACUAUUGUAGAUUGACAUAAUUUGCCUAAUCAGAUCACAAAAGUAUAUUGUUUUCUAUCUUCAACUGAAAUAAAGACUUUAAUAA